UCCCUGUUCCUCUGAUUACCUGCCCUAUUGUUUCUUGUCCACCUUUGUCUGUAUUUAAGUUUGCCUUCGUCCUUUGUUCCAUGCGGUGUCGUUAUGUCUCUUUGGAUUUUGUUCUUGCUGCGGAUCCUGUUAAAUUCUAGUUUGAAGAUGCCUUGUAAUCAGAAUUAUCCUGUCAUCCAGAACCUCGCCUGCAUCCGUUGACCUGCAUUGCAGUGAUGGAGCCUUCAGUAUGCAGAUUCGAUGGUGGCAGCACACCGAGGAGAUUGGCUGAUUCAGACUCUGGGCCCACCUCCUUCCUGCUGAUCUCCGAUUGGAACGGCCUUCAAACACUGGACCAAUCACGUCUGCCAAUCCACCAGCUGGAUCCUUUAAGACGUUCUGAGAGAGACUCAUUCAGUGGGGCAGUUUUGAACUGUGCACACUGCUUAUCCUGUGUAAAUGUAGUCUUGCAAUCUAGCUGUGUAGUUUGUAACUUGUGGGGAGGUUGUUGUAGGAAGUUUUGUUUUGCCCUUGUUGACUUAGUAUUUGAUUUUGCUUACAUGGUGUGUUUACCUAGCUAUUUUAGUUUGGGGCUGAUGGUUUAAUUUAGGAGAGGCUUUAUUUUGUUUUGUCUAGCUUAGUCCAGCUUCUGCCCUAAGAACUGUUCCUUGGGUUGAAAUUUAUAUUUCCUUUGCCAACAACAUUUGUAGUGUUGUCUCAUUAUGUUCCAAAAUCCCCUAAAUAAACCUUUUAACUUGA